GACGAACGCUGGCGGCGUGCUUAACACAUGCAAGUCGAGCGGUAAGGCCCUUUCGGGGGUACACGAGCGGCGAACGGGUGAGUAACACGUGGGUGACCUGCCCUCAGCUCUGGGAUAAGCCUGGGAAACCGGGUCUAAUACUGGAUAUGACUCCUUGACGCAUGUUGUGGGGUGGAAAGCCUUGUGCGGCUGAGGAUGGGCCCGCGGCCUAUCAGCUUGUUGGUGGGGUGAUGGCCUACCAAGGCGACGACGGGUAGCCGGCCUGAGAGGGCGACCGGCCACACUGGGACUGAGACACGGCCCAGACUCCUACGGGAGGCAGCAGUGGGGAAUCUUGCGCAAUGGGCGAAAAGCCUGACGCAGCGACGCCGCGUGAGGGAUGACGGCCUGU
rnacentral:rRNA from 1 species